rnacentral:lncRNA from 1 species
CUUGGUCUCUCCGUUCACUCCAAAAUUAUUAACACUAAAUCAGGCCCGGCUUGUACCGCUGGUAAUUCUUAAUCUCCCACCAGUUUGCUCUGUUGAUUUGUGCCUUGAGCCUGCUAGUCCUCUGCUACAGGCAUCCCCGCAGCUCGACUCGCUGGUGCGGCAACAUGGUGACCAUCUUUGACGGCUGGUUUGGCUCGUACGCCUCCUCUGUGUCCUUGGUUUGUAAGCGGCGAUGGAUCAUGGAUGUAUAGCAUGGCCCGAGUAGCAGCUCCAAUGGAGGAGGCGAGAUCGUUGAUCUGCACGGUGUCGUUGCUGUCAGCAUCCUUGUAGGGGAUCCUUCGUCGUGGAUCUCGACUCGCACAGCUAGCGUGGAUUCAGCUUUUGUAUGAGGUAUUUGGUCCAUUGUCUUCCUCAAUCGUGCAAGCCAGACUUCGUCGUUGUUCCCACUCGAGGAAUCCCGACAUCUCGUCGUCUUCCUCCACAGCGGCAACAUGCUUCGACCUACAGGUCUCCUUUUUCCCUUUUCAUGUCUAUAUGACAUAUAUUUUUGCUUAACCUUUUCCUGUGUGUGUACGAUUGUACCAAUAUAAUGUAAUUAAAACACUGCCUGUUAGUGAAAAAUGUUAAUUUUCUUUUGUCCCCUCCACUUUUUCUGUGCUUCCGUUUGCAUCGAUAGUGUUAGAUCCCUUGCCCCCAUUCAUACUCGGCAAAUUUAAGUACUAAUUAGUGUAUCAUUGAGUAGCUAUAGUUUAAUAUUUCCCAAAGACACUG